UCACUGUGAUGAUGAUUUUCCUGCCAUUCGUAGUUUCCACCAGAGGUCGAAAGACCCAAGAUGGCACAAAUUCUUCCUUGGAUGUCUGAGUGA